CCUACGGGGUGCAGCAGUAGGGAAUCUUCCACAAUGGGCGAAAGCCUGAUCGAGCAACGCCGCGUGGGUGAAGAAGGUCUUCGGAUCGUAAAACCCUGUUGGUAGAGAAGAAAGUGCGUGAGAGUAACUGUUCACGUUUCGACGGUAUCUAACCAGAAAGCCACGGCUAACGACGUGCCAGCAGCCGCGGUAAUACGUAGGUGGCAAGCGUUAUCCGGAUUUAUUGGGCGUAAAGGGAACGCAGGCGGUCUUUUAAGUCUGAUGUGAAAGCCUUGGGCUUAACCGGAGUAGUGCAUUGGAUACUGGGAGACUGGAGUGCAGAAGAGGAGAGUGGAACUCCAUGUGUAGCGGUGAAAUGCGUAGAUAUAUGGAAGAACACCAGUGGCGAAGGCGGCUCUCUGGUCUGUAACUGACGCUGAGGUUCGAAAGCGUGGGUAGCAAACAGGAUUAGAUACCCUAGUAGUC
rnacentral:rRNA from 1 species